AUUUAACGCUGGCGGCAGGCCUAACACAUGCAAGUCGAGCGGAUGAAGGGAGCUUGCUCCUGGAUUCAGCGGCGGACGGGUGAGUAAUGCCUAGGAAUCUGCCUGGUAGUGGGGGAUAACGUCCGGAAACGGGCGCUAAUACCGCAUACGUCCUGGGGGGGAAAGUGGGGGAUCUUCGGACCUCACGCUAUCAGCAGAGCCUAGGGCGGAUUAGCUAGUUGGUGGGGUAAAGGCCUACCAAGGCGACGAUCCGUAACUGGUCUGAGAGGAUGAUCAGUCACACUGGAACUGAGACACGGUCCAGACUCCUACGGGAGGCAGCAGUGGGGAAUAUUGGACAAUGGGCGAAAGCCUGAUCCAGCCAUGCCGCGUGUGUGAAGAAGGUCUUCGGAUUGUAAAGCACUUUAAGUUGGGAGGAAGGGCAGUAAGUUAAUACCUUGCUGUUUUGACGUUACCAACAGAAUAAGCACCGGCUAACUUCGUG
rnacentral:rRNA from 1 species